CCAGCCUCUAGUGGCUGUCUCACGGACAGCCGCUAGAGGAGCACACUGAACGUCCAUAGGAAAGCAUUGAGUAAUGCUUUCCUAUGGGCGGUUUGAAUGCGUGCGCGGUCGCAUUCAGAGCUGAGAGGCUGAGGGAUCCCCAGCGCCAAGGGAGUCCGGCGCUGGAGAAAGGUAAGUGCUGAAGACACACACACACUUACA